rnacentral:rRNA from 1 species
CCUGAUGCAGCAACGCCGCGUGAGGGAUGACGGCCUUCGGGUUGUAAACCUCUUUUAGUAGGGAAGAAGCGACUGAAUUUAUUCUGAGUGACGGUACCUGCAGAAAAAGCACCGGCUAACUACGUGCCAGCAGCCGCGGUAAUACGUAGGGUGCAAGCGUUGUCCGGAAUUAUUGGGCGUAAAGAGCUCGUAGGCGGUUUGUCGCGUCUGCUGUGAAAUCUGGGGGCUCAACCCCCAGCCUGCAGUGGGUACGGGCAGACUAGAGUGCGGUAGGGGAGAUUGGAAUUCCUGGUGUAGCGGUGGAAUGCGCAGAUAUCAGGAGGAACACCGAUGGCGAAGGCAGAUCUCUGGGCCGUAACUGACGCUGAGGAGCGAAAGCAUGGGGAGCGAACAGGAUUAGAUACCCUGGUAGUCCAUGCCGUAAACGUUGGGAACUAGAUGUAGGGGCCAUUCCACGGUUUCUGUGUCGCAGCUAACGCAUUAAGUUCCCCGCCUGGGGAGUACGGCCGCAAGGCUAAAACUCAAAGGAAUUGACGGGGGCCCGCACAAGCGGCGGAGCAUGCGGAUUAAUUCGAUGCAACGCGAAGAACCUUACCAAGGCUUGACAUAUACCGGAAACGUCCAGAGAUGGUC